rnacentral:piRNA from 1 species
UGGGCUACAGCAUGGCAAUUUUGAAUGGU